AUGGCAGAUCCUCAGGUGUUGGGUGAAGAAGGAAGGAACGUGACUCUCUCCUGCUCUUACAGCACCUCAUAUUCAUCAGCAUAUUACCUCUACUGGUACCAUCAUUAUCCGGGAACAGCUCCACAGUACAUUCUACAUAAAGCCAACCAGGGCAGCUUCUCCAAUGCAGCUCCAUUUGCUGGGGGAAAGUUCUCAUGUGAGGUGACAAGAAACUCUACACACUUGUCCAUAAGUGAUGUGAAGACAGAGGACUCAGCCAGCUAUGUGUGUGCUCUGCAGGCGGCACAGUGUGACACAGACCAGCUGAGCUCUGACAUAAACCUCACACUGAGCAGCUGCACCACACACAUUGGAGGGAUCCUCAGCCAUUGUUUUAUCUGUGUGAAGAGGGGAAAACAGCAAAUAAAUCAAUAA